CUCUGAAGUACUGAAUAACGAACGAGACAAUAGAUAACACUAGACAAAUAUUCCCUAUCUAAUAACUCAAAUAGUCACACGAUAAAGGAAAAAUUAGAGGAGGGGCCAAGGUGCUCGGGUUCUUGCCACUGCCGAUAGCCGAUACCAUGUCCCCACAAAUCAAUCGUUAUUGCAUCACGUAAGUUGUAAUGAUCAGCGAAUGCAAUAACUGUACCCGAGGGCCAAUCACACUGUCAAUAAACAUCACUAGUGACUUCCAAAAGUACAGCAUACCUUUUACCACAGCAGUUCGACGACCGGAGGGACUUUUUCAAGGUCCCCAAAGAGACAGGACUCAUCUGAAUACAUCGAAGUUGCCUGAAAUCAGUCGGGCAAAAAAAUGAGGAACCGGUCAUCGUUGAUGGACUGGCUUGUGUCAUUGAGUAAAUAUAAUGUUCGAAACGAGUUUACGUCUCGACACUGAUGACUCCCGUAUCCGUCGAGUCACUCCAAUAUAGUUUUUUUUUUUUUUCAGCAGCGAGUGGAGAACCGUUUGCAUUACCCUAAUUAUCCUGUUACCGUACAGUUAACGCUGGAUAAAAAGCGUGUAAGUUGGUGCGUAAAAUGGCAUUUUACGCACGAUACGAUGGAAAAAUAUUUUUAGGACAUAGGGGACAUGGUAAUAAGACCACUAGGCCCUUUUGCUGAUACAAAACAAUCGAGGAGUCAGUAUCAGGGAGUUGCAAUCAGACAGCCAACGACCAGCCGAGCGUGAACGUGCUCCAACGAAUUUAUUAAGCCGUCUCAACCGGCGGCGAACGUGACGGAUGAGAAUUAUGUACGGCUUUACAAUUAAAUUCAUCGUACGUGCCGUGGAAAACUCAACUGGAUCUACCCACACUGGGGCAUUACAAUCGGCAUUGUUCACUAUUCUGUUGUAAAAAAAAAGAAAAAUAUAUUUAUAAAAAUAAUCAACGGCAUAAAAUCACGUAUUCAUCGUAACUACUAUCUAAUGUGUCAUAAAAAAUUUAUUCAAACUGAAAAUUGAUUCUGAAAAAAUUUAAUUACCCGUCUGCCUACGUUGCAUUUCCAACAAUGAAAUUAAAUCAGCUUCUUGUGCGUGCAGUGCGAAUUAAUCCUGGGCAAAUGAUCCGUGCGGGCUUGGUAAUUUAUCCAGAUAAUCCGUGACUGAGUGGAUAAACAAUGUAACAGUGAGUUGGCUUGAAAUCGAUACGUUUAAAUUUUUUCAUUGGGAGAUCGAUAUCCUGGGGCGACAUAAAAAGGCGCCGCAUGUGGAUUAAAAUUUCGAGAAUGCCCUGGUAAUUGAACGGGUCCCUGUGGUGAACGUUAUGGUGAGAUCGCGGUGGAGUUUAAUUGUUCAACAUACCAGACAGUGGCCAGCACUCCCAAUCGAUAGCUAUCUGAGUGCAUUUUAAAUUCACCGCCGAUUCGACGUUCACUUUGACUACAACGUGACACUGGUCAAACGCAUGUUCACUACUGAACAUACGCAACACUUAUUUGAAAAUCCAUCUGAGCGUUUCGUAUUCUCGGUUAUUCAAAGCCUCGGCUGGAUGCAUUGGCACGAGUGCAUUGUCGUGCCU